CCCCCUGAUCGCGGGGAAAUAACGGGGAAUUCCCGAUUGGAAACAUCCCAGAACCUUCCAGAACCUUCCAGAACCUCCUGGAACAUCCCAGAACCUUCCAGAGCAUCCCAGAGCAUCCCAGAGCAUCCCAGAACCUUCCAGAACCUUCCAGAGCAUCCCAGAACAUCCCAGACCAUCCCAGGCUCCAUCAUCAUUGGGAAUUCCCUGCUGGAAUCGGCCCUGGAACCUCCCAGAACCUUCCGGAACCUUCUGGAACCUCCCCACAGCAGCUCCGUCAUCGCUGGGGAGUUUGGGAUUCCUUGGGAAUCAUCCGUGGAACCUCCCAGAACCUCCUGGAACCUUCCGGAACCUCCCAGAACCUUCCAGAACCUCCCGGAACCUUCCAGAACCUUCCAGAACCUCCCAGAAGUUUCCAGAACCUUCCGGAACCUUCCAGCCCCCUCCGGCUCAUCCCACAUUUCCCCUCCCCCCUCGUUCCUGGCUGGAUUUUCGGGAAGGAGCCGAAUUUUGGGAUGGAGCAGGAAUUUUUGGGCUGGGAUUUUUGGGAUGGGAUUUUUGGGAUGGGACAGGAAUUUUUUGGGAUGGAUGGAACAGGAAUUUUUUGGGAUGGACAGAGUGGAAUUUCGGGGACCCCCCCCCCGUGCCAAUAAAAUCGGUUUCCACCCCUCCGUCUCCCCCUCCCCAAAUGACAGAAAACAGCCGAGACCCCUCCCCAAAACGGAGCAUCCAAAGGCUUUUAAUUCCCAAAAAUUCCCAAAAAAAACCCGGGAAAGGGG
rnacentral:lncRNA from 1 species